rnacentral:lncRNA from 1 species
CCUCUGCCCAGACGCCCCAUCUUGGAUGUGAGGAGCACCUCUGCCCAGCCACCACCCCGUCUGGGAGGUGAGGAGCACCUCUGCCUGGCCGCCCCGUCUUGGAAGAGAGGAGCAUCUCUGCCUGGCCACCCCAUCUGGGAGGUGGUUGUGAGACAACUUCAACAAGAAGUGGCUGAUUCCCUUAAAAAAUUAACUAUGUUAGAGUCUCCACUGGAAGGUACAUGAUGUCACAUUAAUUUGGAAGAGACACGGGCCUCAAAGAGGAAAUUAUUUCAAGUGGAAAGUCAAAUAUAAGAAACUCCUGGAAAUGACAAUAAAUGUGUUAAGUGUAUUUGGAAAUGAAGACUUCGAUUGCCAUGGAGACUUAAAAACAGAUCAACUGAAAAUGAAUAUUCUGAUUAAGAAACUAAAACAUAAGUUUGAUGAUCUUACAGCAGAGAAGGAAGCUGUAUCUUCAAAAUGUGUCGAUUUGGCUAAAGACAAUCAAGUUCUUCAACAGGAGUUAUUAUCUAUGAAAAAAGUACAACAGCAAUGUGAAAAACUUGAGAAGGAUAAAAAGAUGUUGGAAGAAGAAAUAUUAAAUCUUAAGACACAUAUGGAAGACAAUAUGGUAGAACUUAGUAAACUACAAGAAUAUAAAUCGGAGCUAGAUGAAAGGGCAAUGACGGCAGUAGAAAAAUUAGAAGAAAUCCAUUUACAGAUGGAGCUGGACUGUGUGGAACAAAUAAUUAGAGAAACAAAGAGAACUGUUGCUGUGUUGGACACUUGCUCCCAUCUAUUUUCUUCUCUAGAAUCCACUGCGCUGGAAUGAGUAAUUUUUUUUAGAAGCAGAGGUGGAGCCACUGAGGAAGCACAGGCGAGCCCUCCCCAGCGUGUACUCACUGGUCCCCAACAGAAGAACAGCUGCUGCAUCCACUGAG